rnacentral:rRNA from 1 species
UACGAAGGGUGCAAGCGCUAAUCGGAAUUACUGGGCGUAAAGCGUGCGCAGGCGGUUUUGUAAGUCUGUCGUGAAAGCCCCGGGCUCAACCUGGGAAUUGCGAUGGAGACUGCAAGGCUUGAAUCUGGCAGAGGGGGGUAGAAUUCCACGUGUAGCAGUGAAAUGCGUAGAGAUGUGGAGGAACACCGAUGGCGAAGGCAGCCCCCUGGGUCAAGAUUGACGCUCAUGCACGAAAGCGUGGGGAGCAAACAGG